UCUGGAGUAAAAGGNUAUGGCUCAACCAUAGUGUGCUCUGGAAACUGUCCGACUUGAGUGCAGAAGGGGAGAGUGGAAUUCCAUGUGUAGCGGUGAAAUGCGUAGAUAUAUGGAGGAACACCAGUGGCGAAAGCGGCUCUCUGGUCUGUCACUGACGCUGAGGCUCGAAAGCGUGGGUAGCGAACAGGAUUAGAUACCCUGGUAGUCCACGCCGUAAACGAUGAGUGCUAGGUGUCAGGCCCUUUCCGGGGCUUAGUGCCGGAGCUAACGCAAUAAGCACUCCGCCUGGGGAGUACGACCGCAAGGUUGAAACUCAAAGGAAUUGACGGGGGCCCGCACAAGCGGUGGAGCAUGUGGUUUAAUUCGAAGCAACGCGAAGAACCUUACCAGGUCUUGACAUCCCGAUGCUAUUCUUAGAGAUAGGAAGUUACUUCGGUACAUCGGAGACAGGUGGUGCAUGGUUGUCGUCAGCUCGUGUCGUGAGAUGUUGGGUUAAGUCCCGCAACGAGCGCAACCCUUAUUGUUAGUUGCCAUCAUUAAGUUGGGCACUCUAGCGAGACUGCCGGUAAUAAACCGGAGGAAGGUGGGGAUGACGUCAAAUCAUCAUGCCCCUUAUGACCUGGGCUACACACGUGCUACAAUGGUCGGUACAACGAGUUGCGAGCCGGUGACGGCAAGCUAAUCUCUGAAAGCCGAUCUCAGUUCGGAUUGGAGGCUGCAACUCGCCUCCAUGAAGUCGGAAUCGCUAGUAAUCGCGGAUCAGCACGCCGCGGUGAAUACGUUCCCGGGCCUUGUACACACCGCCCGUCACACCACGAGAGUUUGUAACACCCGAAGUCGGUGAGGUANCCUUUUAGGG
rnacentral:rRNA from 1 species